GAGAAGUGAGGAGAAUUCUAUCACAGUCUGAUUUUCUGUGACUGCUAAAGAUCCAACUCUGAUCUCACUCCGCAA